GACGAACGCUGGCGGCGUGCUUAACACAUGCAAGUCGAACGGUAAGGCCCUUCGGGGUACACGAGUGGCGAACGGGUGAGUAACACGUGGGUGAUCUGCCCUGCACUUCGGGAUAAGCCUGGGAAACUGGGUCUAAUACCGGAUAGGACCACUGCCUGCAUGGGUGGUGGUGGAAAGCUUUUGCGGUGUGGGAUGGGCCCGCGGGCUAUCAGCUUGUUGGUGGGGUGGUGGCCUACCAAGGCGACGACGGGUAGCCGGCCUGAGAGGGUGACCGGCCACACUGGGGCUGAGAUCCGGCCCAGACUCCUACGGGAGGCAGCAGUGGGGAAUAUUGCACAAUGGGCGCAAGCCUGAUGCAGCGACGCCGCGUGAGGGAUGACGGCCUUCGGGUUGUAAACCUCUUUCAGCACCGACGAAGCGCAAGUGACGGUAGGUGCAGAAGAAGGACCGGCCAACUACGUGCCAGCCGCCGCCGUAA
rnacentral:rRNA from 1 species